UACAUUUAUGUGUUUGUGUCUCUAUGGA
rnacentral:sRNA from 1 species